rnacentral:rRNA from 1 species
UGGGGAAUAUUGCACAAUGGGGGAAACCCUGAUGCAGCGACGCCGCGUGAGCGAAGAAGGCUUUCGAGUCGUAAAGCUCUGUCCUAUGGGAAGAUAAUGACGGUACCAUAGGAGGAAGCCCCGGCUAACUACGUGCCAGCAGCCGCGGUAAUACGUAGGGGGCAAGCGUUGUCCGGAAUCACUGGGCGUAAAGGGUUCGCAGGCGGAAAUGAAAGUCAGUUGUGAAAGGCAGAGGCUCAACCUCUGUAAGCAAUUGAAACUGUAUUUCUUGAGAUGUGGAGAGGCAAGUGGAAUUCCUAGUGUAGCGGUGAAAUGCGUAGAUAUUAGGAAGAAUACCGGUGGCGAAGGCGACUUGCUGGACACAAACUGACGCUGAGGAACGAAAGCGUGGGUAGCAAACAGG